rnacentral:tRNA from 1 species
UCUACAGUAGCUCAGUGGUAGAGCUAUCGGCUGUUAACCGAUCGGUCGUAGGUUCGAGUCCUACCUGUGGAGCCA